UACGUAGGGUGCAAGCGUUAAUCGGAAUUAUUGGGCGUAAAGCGUGCGCAGGCGGUUUUGCAAGACAGAUGUGAAAUCCCCGGGCUCAACCUGGGAACUGCAUUUGUGACUGCAUGGCUGGAGUGCGGCAGAGGGGGAUGGAAUUCCGCGUGUAGCAGUGAAAUGCGUAGAUAUGCGGAGGAACACCGAUGGCGAAGGCAAUCCCCUGGGCCUGCACUGACGCUCAUGCACGAAAGCGUGGGGAGCAAACAGG
rnacentral:rRNA from 1 species